GUGGUGAAAGCCUACNGCUUAACUGUAGAACUGCCNUUGAUACUGUAAGUCUUGAAUUCCGUCCAAGUGGGCNGAAUGUGUAGUGUAGCNGUGAAAUGGGNNGNNAUUACNCNGAACACCCAUAGCCAAGGCAGCUCACUAGGCCUGGAUUGACGCUCGGGACGAAAGCGUGGGGAUCAACAGGAUUAGAUACCCUGGUAGUCCACGCUGUAAACGAUGAUUACUCGUUUUCGGCGAUAUACGGUCGGAGACUAAGCGAAAGUGAUAAGUAAUCCACCUGGGGAGUACGAUCGCAAGGUUGAAACUCNNAGGAAUUGACGGGGGCCCGCACAAGCCGGUGGAGCAUGUGGUUUAAUUCGAUGAUACGCGAGGAACCUUACCAGGGCUUAAAUGCAAGUUGAAUGAUGUGGAAACAUGUCAGUCUUCGGACAAUUUGCAAGGUGCUGCAUGGCUGUCGUCAGCUCCUGCCCGUGAGGUGUUGGGUUAAGUCCCGCAACGAGCNCAACCCCCAUCUUUAGUUGCUAGCAGGUAAUGCUGAGGACUCUAAAGAAACUGCCUACNCAAGUAGUGAGGAANGCGGGGACNACNUCAGUCAUCACGGCCCUUACNUCUGGGCCACCCCNUGCUACAUGGUAGGUACAGANGGCAGCUACNGGUGACCGAUGCCAAUCUCUAAGCCUAUCUCCUUCGGAUCGAAUCUGCCACNCCACUCCNGANCUGAAUCCCUAAUAAUCCCCCNCCCNUGGNCCGGGAAUACUUCCCGGCCUUUA
rnacentral:rRNA from 1 species